rnacentral:rRNA from 1 species
UAAGACGUGCAUUGCUUCUCUUGAGAGCGGCGGACGGGUGAGUAAUGCCUAGGAAUCUGCCUGGUAGUGGGGGAUAACGUUCGGAAACGGACGCUAAUACCGCAUACGUCCUACGGGAGAAAGCAGGGGACCUUCGGGCCUUGCGCUAUCAGAUGAGCCUAGGUCGGAUUAGCUAGUUGGUGGGGUAAUGGCUCACCAAGGCGACGAUCCGUAACUGGUCUGAGAGGAUGAUCAGUCACACUGGAACUGAGACACGGUCCAGACUCCUACGGGAGGCAGCAGUGGGGAAUAUUGGACAAUGGGCGAAAGCCUGAUCCAGCCAUGCCGCGUGUGUGAAGAAGGUCUUCGGAUUGUAAAGCACUUUAAGUUGGGAGGAAGGGUUGUAGAUUAAUACUCUGCAAUUUUGACGUUACCGACAGAAUAAGCACCGGCUAACUCUGUGCCAGCAGCCGCGGUAAUACAGAGGGUGCAAGCGUUAAUCGGAAUUACUGGGCGUAAAGCGCGCGUAGGUGGUUUGUUAAGUUGGAUGUGAAAUCCCCGGGCUCAACCUGGGAACUGCAUUCAAAACUGACUGACUAGAGUAUGGUAGAGGGUGGUGGAAUUUCCUGUGUAGCGGUGAAAUGCGUAGAUAUAGGAAGGAACACCAGUGGCGAAGGCGACCACCUGGACUAAUACUGACACUGAGGUGCGAAAGCGUGGGGAGCAAACAGGAUUAGAUACCCUGGUAGUCCACGCCGUACACGAUGUCAACUAGCCGUUGGAAGCCUUGAGCUUUUAAUUGCCGCACCUAACGCAUUAAGUUGACCGCCUGGGUAGUACAGCCGCCACGCUAGAACUCCAAUGAAUUGACGUGGGCCCCGCACAAACAGAUGCAGCAUGCUGGUUUUAUUUCGAAUCAACACUAAAGAACAUACCACGCCCUUGACAUUCGAAUGAGCUUGCACGAGAUAGAAUGGUUGACUGCUGCUAUCUUGGAAACAUGUGCUGCAUGGCUGACAGUCAUCUCGUC